rnacentral:rRNA from 1 species
AUCCUGGCUCAGAUUGAACGCUAGCGGGAUGCUUUACACAUGCAAGUCGAACGGCAGCGCGAGUUAACCUUGCUUAACUUUGGCGGCGAGUGGCGAACGGGUGAGUAAUGUAUCGGAACGUGCCCAGUAGCGGGGCGAUAACUACGCGAAACCGUGGCUAAUACCGCAUACGCCCUACGGGGGAAAGGGGGGGAUCGCAAGACCUCUCACUAUUGGAGCGGCCGAUAUCGGAUUAGCUGGUUGGUGGGGUAAAGGCCUACCAAGGCGACGAUCCGUAGCUGGUUUGAGAGGACGACCAGCCACUCUGGGACUGAGACACGGCCCAGACUCCUACGGCAGGCAGCAGUGGGGAAUUUAGGACAAUGGGGGCAACCCUGAUCCAGCCAUCCCGCGUGUGCGAUGAAGCGCCUUCGGGUUGUUAAGCACUUUUGGCAGGGAAGAAA